rnacentral:lncRNA from 1 species
AGCCACGUGGAAUCCAUUGCAGAGAGUGAAGUAGGGUAGUGGCCAUUGUCGUGACUUGCCAGAGAGUUUGGAUUUGUCGGUUGAAGCUCGGCUGGGAUGUCUGACGGAGCGGAAUGGCUCUCUGUCUCAUCAAUUCAGGAGAAGCUCGGAUGUUUCUGAGGUUACUGAUGGGUCUACUGUUGUUGGGUGCCUAGAGCACUGACGCUGCAGGCGGGAGUCAUCUGU